UACGUAGGGUGCAAGCGUUGUCCGGAAUUAUUGGGCGUAAAGAGCUCGUAGGCGGUCUGUCACGUCGGCUGUGAAAACCUGGGGCUCAACCCCGGGCCUGCAGCCGAUACGGGCAGACUAGAAUUCGGUAGGGGAGACUGGAAUUCCUGGUGUAGCGGUGAAAUGCGCAGAUAUCAGGAGGAACACCGGUGGCGAAGGCGAUCAUCUGGGAUAACCUGACGCUGAGGAGCGAAAGCCAGGGAGCAAACGGG
rnacentral:rRNA from 1 species